GUGGUUUUCAUGGAGACAAAAGGUGGAGAAGGACAGUCCUGUGAAGUGGCUGCAACAUUCGAAGGUAACAGUAAGUCUUCAUCAAGAGCCAGACAUGCCUUAGAAUAACAGGUAAAUAAAUAAUUUAAAGCAGAGGCCUCACAUUACCAGACUAAGUCCCAACCAACCAAAUCAUGUUCCUCAUUUGAAAUUCCUCUAAGUGUCACAAAGGUUGUUGUGUUUGUGAUGUGGGUUUUGACUGUCCUCAUGUUACCAGAAAGGGGUCCUGAUCCAGACCCCAAAAGAGGGUUAUUGGAUCUUGCACAAAAAAGAAUUUGAGGUCAAUCCAUAAAGUGAAAGGAAGUUUACUGGGAAAGUAAAGGAAUACAGGAAUGGCUACUCCAUAGUCAGAGCAGCCCCACGGGUUGGUGGUUGCCCACUUUUCUGGUUAUUUCUUGAUUAUAUGCUAAACAAGAAGUGGAUUAUUCAUGCC
rnacentral:lncRNA from 1 species